UCCACCUUAGCUCAGUUGGUAGAGCGCGACACUAGUAAUGUCGAGGUCAAUAGUUCGAGUCUGUUAGGUGGAA
rnacentral:tRNA from 2 species